UGAAACAGUUUGCAUCAGUAUUGCCGCCAUUGUUAUACCGUGUAUCAUAGUGGUAGUUAUCAUCGUAGUGGUCGUCGUUAUUAUCAUCAAGAAGAAAAAGGCUCAUCCAGGGGUUGUGAUCAGUCCAGGUAAUCCAC